AGUGAACGCUGGCGGCAGGCCUAAUACAUGCAAGUCGAACGGCAGCACAGCAGAGCUUGCUCUGUGGGUGGCGAGUGGCGGACGGGUGAGGAAUACAUGGGAAUCUGCCCAGUCGUGGGGGAUAACGUAUGGAAACGUACGCUAAUACCGCAUGCGCCCUAAGGGGGAAAGCCGGGGACCGCAAGGCCUGGCGCGAUUGGAUGAGCCCAUGUUCGAUUAGCUAGUUGGCGGGGUAAAGGCCCACCAAGGCGACGAUCGAUAGCUGGUCUGAGAGGAUGAGCAGCCACACUGGAACUGAGACACGGUCCAGACUCCUACGGGAGGCAGCAGUAGGGAAUAUUGGACAAUGGGGGCAACCCUGAUCCAGCCAUGCCGCGUGAGUGAAGAAGGCCCUCGGGUUGUAAAGCUCUUUUGUCCGGAAAGAAAAGCAAUCGGUUAAUACCCGGUUGUCCUGACGGUACCGGAAGAAUAAGCACCGGCUAACUCGUGCCAGCA
rnacentral:rRNA from 1 species